rnacentral:lncRNA from 10 species
CAACUUCACUCUGUGGCAAUUUAGAAACACCACGUCCAAAAUUCAACUCCUACUAUUUCCCUGAAACCUGCUCCCUCACCAGAUUUCUUUGUCAACUCUUCCAGAUGUUCAGGUAAAAGAAAAACUUGGGAUCAUACUUCACUCCCACUUUUGCUCAUAGGCACAAAUGAUGGAGCAGAAAAUCCUGCUGGCUUUACCUUUAAGAUCUACCAAGAUUCUUAUUACUUAGGUCCCUUCAGCAACCCGUCUGGUCCAGAAUCCACCAUAAUCCUCCUGGAGCCUACUACAGCAGUCUCCUCACCAGUAUCCCUGCGUCCACCCCCAUCACUCCGUAACAGUCUGUUUUCUCCACUCAUUGCCUUUGAAAUAUUUUUUCAGACCCUCACUCAGAUCGUGUUCUCCUUUAGUUCACAACCCUCCAUGGCUCCCAAAGACUCAGAAUUAAAAACCCCGGUUGCUCAGGCUGCCAUGGCAGCCGUGCCUUCUUCUCCUCAUUCUCUCUGCUCCCUGCAGACACAGGUCCGCCCCCAAGUUUCCGAAUGCUCGCGACCCCGGCGCACCUCCCAGGCUCUGCGCGUGCAGCCCCCACGGUACGCAACGCUCUCCCUUCUUCACCUCACCGCCCGUCAGCUCUGAGGACCCCACCCAGAACUCCUCGCUGUCCUGGAGAAGAGGCCUGAACUGCAGAGACCCACGCAGGUGACCCCAGUCCGGGGCCUCAGGACCCAGAUUCAACUAGCUCAUGGCUCGUACUGGAGGAGCUGGGCCCACAGUUGAGAUCCAUGGAUUUCUCCAGUCUCCCGUUCCAUGGUCACACACACCUUGAGGGCACCCACACGGAUUGUCCAUCUCCUGUAAAAACACAAGCAAACCCUCGUCCCCAUAUCA